rnacentral:rRNA from 1 species
CCUACGGGAGGCAGCAGUAGGGAAUAUUGCGCAAUGGGGGAAACUCUGAAGCAGUAACGCCGCGUGGAGGAUGAAGGUUUUCGGAUUGUAAACUCCUUUUGUUAGAGAAGAUAAUGACGGUAUCUAACGAAUAAGCACCGGCUAACGCCGUGCCAGCAGCCGCGGUAAUACGGAGGGUGCAAGCGUUACUCGGAAUCACUGGGCGUAAAGAGCGCGUAGGCGGGAUAGCAAGUCAGAUGUGAAAUCCUAUGGCUUAACCAUAGAACUGCAUUUAAAACUGUUAUUCUAGAGUAUUGGAGAGGAAGGUGGAAUUCUUGGUGUAGGGGUAAAAUCCGUAGAGAUCAAGAGGAAUACUCAUUGCGAAGGCGACCUUCUAGACCAUAACUGACGCUGAUGCACGAAAGCGUGGGGAGCAAACAGGAUUAGAUACCCUAGUAGUC